rnacentral:rRNA from 1 species
AUUGAACGCUGGCGGCAUGCCUUACACAUGCAAGUCGAACGGCAGCACGGGGGCAACCCUGGUGGCGAGUGGCGAACGGGUGAGUAAUGCAUCGGAACGUGCCCAGUAGUGGGGGACGACCAGUCGAAAGAUUGGCUAAUACCGCAUACGACCUAUGGGUGAAAGCGGGGGACCGUAAGGCCUCGCGCUAUUGGAGCGGCCGAUGUCUGAUUAGCUAGUUGGUGAGGUAAAAGCUCACCAAGGCGACGAUCAGUAGCUGGUCUGAGAGGACGACCAGCCACACUGGGACUGAGACACGGCCCAGACUCCUACGGGAGGCAGCAGUGGGGAAUUUUGGACAAUGGGCGCAAGCCUGAUCCAGCCAUGCCGCGUGCGGGAAGAAGGCCUUCGGGUUGUAAACCGCUUUUGGCAGGAACGAAACGGCGACUUCUAAUACGAGUCGUUAAUGACGGUACCUGCAGAAUAAGCACCGGCUAACUACGUGCCAGCAGCCGCGGUAAGAC